rnacentral:rRNA from 1 species
GAGUAACGCGUAUCCAACCUUCCGUACACUCAGGGAUAGCCUCUCGAAAGAAAGAUUAAUACCUGAUGGUAUGAUGAGAUUGCAUGAUAGCAUCAUUAAAGAUUUAUCGGUGUACGAUGGGGAUGCGUUCCAUUAGGUAGUAGGCGGGGUAACGGCCCACCUAGCCAACGAUGGAUAGGGGUUCUGAGAGGAAGGUCCCCCACAUUGGAACUGAGACACGGUCCAAACUCCUACGGGAGGCAGCAGUGAGGAAUAUUGGUCAAUGGACGAGAGUCUGAACCAGCCAAGUAGCGUGAAGGAUGAAGGUCCUACGGAUUGUAAACUUCUUUUAUAAGGGAAUAAACCCUCCCACGUGUGGGAGCUUGUAUGUACCUUAUGAAUAAGCAUCGGCUAACUCCGUGCCAGCAGCCGCGGUAAUACGGAGGAUGCGAGCGUUAUCCGGAUUUAUUGGGUUUAAAGGGAGCGCAGACGGGUCGUUAAGUCAGCUGUGAAAGUUUGGGGCUCAACCUUAAAAUUGCAGUUGAUACUGGCGUCCUUGAGUGCGGUUGAGGUGUGCGGAAUUCGUGGUGUAGCGGUGAAAUGCUUAGAUAUCACGAAGAACUCCGAUUGCGAAGGCAGCACACUAAUCCGUAACUGAC